UAAAAGUUUGAUUUUAGCUUAAAUAUUUAUAUUAUAAUUAUUUUGCAUGUAAAUUAUUGUGUGAAAUUUAUAUAUUUUAAAUAAAUAUUUAAUUUUAUUUAUUAUUUGCAGCAUUUAAUUUUAAUAAUUUAAGAAAUUUAGAAUUAUUAAUUAUUUUAUACAUAGGCUAAUAUUGUGCCAGCAGCUGCGGUUAAACAAUUUAUGUAAUUAAAUAUUAUUAAUUUAUAAUUUUUUUUAAUUAUUAAAUAUAAAUAAAUUUUAAUUAGGUGAAAUUUUUAAUUAUUUUAAUAUUUUUAAAUUUUAUUUAAAUUAUGAAAUCUAAAAUUUAAACUAGGAUUAGAUACCCUAUUAUUUUAGAAUUAAAUUUUAAUUUUAAGGAUUAUUAGUUAUGAUCUUAAAACUUAAAAAAAUUGGCGGUAUUUAAAUCUAAUUAGGGGAAUUUGUUUUUUGAAUGAUAAUCCACAAGAUACCUUACUUUAUUAAUUAAUUUGUUUAUUGUCGUUAUAAAAAUAUUUUAUAAGAAUUAUUAAUUUUUAAUAAUUAAUAUAAUAAUUUAUUUCAGAUCAUAGUGCAGUAAUAAUAAAGUUUAAAUGAAUUACAAUAAAUUUUAUUUAAAUGGAUAAAAAAUUGAAAUAUUUUAUUGAAGGUGGACUUAAUAGUAAAAUUUAAUAUAUUAUAAAUUUGAAUUUAGAAUUAAAUAUGUACAUAUUGCCCGUCACUCUCAUUUUUAAAAAUGAGAUAAGUCGUAACAAAGUAAGUGUAUUGGAAAAUGUACUUAGAAUGGU
rnacentral:ncRNA from 1 species